GCACGUAUACCGCCUGGUUCCCGUCACGUCAAGCUGAAGCUCCUUGGGGAUCCUCGACGGCGACAAACCCAUCGUCCAGAACAGGUAGAAGAAGAAGAAAACAAGGAGGGGAGGGUGAAAAAACACUGCUGUCUUCACAAGAUUGAAAUCCAAACUCUGUGAAUCUGACUUGGAAGUAUUUCCCCGCAACCUCAAACUCUCAGCAUGUUACUACCGUCCAACAGCCAGACUGCAUGGAGCCACUGAAUAGAGAGGUUCACUCCUCCUGGAUGUGACCGUAGCGACAGGAGACGAUCGCUGGCGUUGUGGUGUUGACUCUGCAGCAAUCCUUCAAACUGAGCAUGCAUGCAGUGACAGCGGAAAGGAAAACUCCCCUUUAACAGGAAGCAACCUCUGG